rnacentral:rRNA from 1 species
AUUGAACGCUGGCGGCAGGCUUAACACAUGCAAGUCGAGCGGAGCGAGAGUGCUUGCACCUUAGCUUAGCGGCGGACGGGUGAGUAAUGCUUAGGAAUCUGCCUAUUAGUGGGGGACAACAUUCCGAAAGGAAUGCUAAUACCGCAUACGCCCUACGGGGGAAAGCAGGGGACCUUCGGACCUUGCGCUAAUAGAUGAGCCUAAGUCGGAUUAGCUAGUUGGUGGGGUAAAGGCCUACCAAGGCGACGAUCUGUAGCGGGUCUGAGAGGAUGAUCCGCCACACUGGGACUGAGACACGGCCCAGACUCCUACGGGAGGCAGCAGUGGGGAAUAUUGGACAAUGGGCGGAAGCCUGAUCCAGCCAUGCCGCGUGUGUGAAGAAGGCCUUUUGGUUGUAAAGCACUUUAAUCGAGGAGGAGGCUACUAGUACUAAUACUACUGGAUAGUGGACGUUACUCGCAGAAUAAGCACCGGCUAACUCUGUGCCAGCCGCCGCAGUAACAU